UUUUUGGUUGGUGGUGGUUGUUGCUGUUGCUUUUAGCAAAUGCUUGUUUGGGAGAUAUAAGUGCUCUUCUGUCAUCCACAGGGAAGAGUCUGACAAAAAGUACAGCUCAAAGCCCACGGCCAGUUUCCCCCAGUCAUCUGAUCAAGGCCUGGCAACCCCAACCCAUUUGCCGUGCCCCAUGAUGGCUUCAAGGCCCCAUUCAGGAGGAAAAGUUCACUCUACCAAUUAACUUUUUUUUUUUGAGAUGGAGUCUCACUCACUGUGUUGCCCAGGCUGGAGUGCAGUGGUGCGGUCUUGGUUCACUGCAACCUCUGCCUCCCGGAUUCAAGCAAUUCUCCUGCCUCAGCCUCCCGAGUAGCUGGGAUUACAGACCAUUAACUUAUCUCAUUUUUUAGAAACUCACACUCAAGAUCUACUUCUCUGGAAUCCAGGUGCAGCCGCCAGGAAACCAUUUAGUUCUCUGAAUAUACAUGUGUUUGUCUCUCGCACCAGAAACAGCAAACCUACCCACCGUGAGCUCACACCCAGCAACCUCCAUGUAACCUGACCAGCUUCUACUUCUUUAAUAUUUAGCUCAGGUACCAUCAACUCCAGGAAGCACUUGCCGGCCUUUCAAGGGUGUAUGGGAGGCUCUUUCUUUACACUCUCCAAAUGCCGCCCAUACUGACAUUGUUGCACUUACCCCGGGGCACUGCAUCCCAUAUGUGUCUGUCCCCUCAAGUAGACCAUGAGCUCCUUAGCAGCCGGCACUGUGUCAUAUACCAACACUGUGCAGGAAGUGCACACAGCAAGUGUCCGUAAGUGUGGGUGAAAUAAAUGAAUGAAUCAGGUAGGACUGGGAUUUAUUCCCAGAUGUGAAGUGACUCUGCCUCUGAGACCGCAUCUGCCAAAAGAGGAAACAGAGAAGAAUGAUGGCAAAGGUCCCUGCCAACCCCAAGACUUUGUGAGUCAUUGAAGUUUUCCCUCGUGAGUCCUGCGUAACAAUAAUCACGUUAACAUGCACCCAACAGGCCGGCCACCGAGCUGCUGAGCGCAGAAUUGGAGCUGUCUCAUUCAAGCCUCAGCCCCUACCAGCGUGUUUGUGGGGGGCUGUACAGCAGCCAUGUGCUCAGUCCCACAGGUGACAACGAUGGGGCUGGUUAAGAGUGCCGACCAACAUGAACAAGAGGCAGCCAAGGCAAGGGAGAAGAAAAGGGCCAAGAUUGGCUGUGGUUUUUCUGCAAGAAGGGACUUGAGGAACAAGCCAAGGAGAAAUAGGAAGGGAGGUUACAGUUGCUGAAUGCUCACCGAGUGUGUCCUCACAAAACCCCAAGCACUAUCAUGUAUGCUAUACCUGCUUUACCUGGAGGAAAACCAGGGCUCAGAGAGGUUUAGGACCUGCCAAAUGGAGGCAGUGCUCAAAAGCAUGCAUCUGUUUGAUUCCUGCACCUGGCUCAUUUCCACACCCCAGCGUGGUUGAGGUCUGACUAUGGGAAUC
rnacentral:lncRNA from 1 species